rnacentral:lncRNA from 1 species
GGAGGCGCGGUCCUUCCAGCCUCUUGCUCCUGUGAAUCACAGGUCGGCGGGAGCCUUUUUUCCUUUUUUUUUUUUUCCCGGGGAGUCGGCCUCGGGGCUCUGCUCUCCUACCUCAGUCUGCCCUACCCUGGAAUGGGGAAAAUGCGGACAUGCCACUCAGUCCGGCCGCGAACAGUGCUCCAGAACUCAGAGAGUUUUCCAGACGGGUGGAGAUCGCGUUCCCUGCCCGCCGAGGUCCCAUCGCUUCCCUGCUGGGAAGACAAAUGAGGCGCUUUAGCCGUCUCCACGGCCAGCCCCUCCCUCAUAACCCGAGAUUCUUUGUGGGCUCUUAGUCCAUAGCUGCCUUUGAGGUGGUGUAGACCUUGCUAACCAGGACGGCCCAGUAGGCAGAGCUCAUUUUUAUUCCUGUCUGCAAUCGUGCAAAAACGCCUCUUAUGGAAAAGCCAGAGCGCCAGGAGUCAGCAAAACACACUAAAGAUUGGGCAGUCACUGGGGAGAACAUGGCCUGAAGCAACUGAAGAUCCACAAAAGAAGUGAAAAUAGCCUUAACUGAUGACAUUCCACCAUUGAGAUUUGUUCCUGCCCCACCCUAACUGAUACGAUAUAUUCUCCCCCGCCCUUAAGAAGACUCAGCCCGCCUGCACCCAGGUGAAAUAUACAGCCUUGUUGCUCACACAAAGCCUGUUUGGUGGUUUCUUCACACGGAUGCAUGUGACAUUUGGUGCUGAAGACCCAGGACAGGAGGACUCCUUUGGGAGACCAGUGCCCUGUUGUCGCCCUCACUCCGUGAGGAGAUCCACCUAUGAUCUCAGGUCCUCAGACCAACCAGCCCAAGGAACAUCUUGCCAAUUUCAAAUCGGCUCUCCCCGAUCUGCCCAACAAUUUCCUGUUAAAGAGAUGGCUGACUAUCCUGACUUCAUCAGAGCAGGCUGGUGCCUGGCCUUCCUGGAAUGAGUGGGUGUUCUGACAGGCCCCCAGUUUGUCCCAUCUGCACCGCCAAGAGGUCUCCGGGUGGCCAGAGGAGCAAAGUUGCCUUCCAAGUGCCUGUUGGUGCCUGGGAGAACACAGCAGGAGUGUCGUGCGGCCCACAGCGCAGUGCAUGGUGAUUCCAGGCGCUGAACAACUCCCCUUGACCCUUGGGCCUGCAUCUGACUCCCGGCUGCAGAAUCAGAAGCUGAGUCCAGGCAACCGCUCGGCCACUCCCGGUCACUCCUCUCUGGACACCCAGUUACUAAAGUCAGCAAAGAAGAUGCGGUAAUCACCGCCUGAUCUCCACAUGGUGAACACAACACUCUCACUAACACCUCCUUGACCAGUCAGUCUUCAGCACUGGGGGUGGACAGGCAGGUUUUCUGUGUUUACCAGAAUCGCACAGGCUAAGCACAAACAUGGAACCAGAGUUCCAGGUGAGGAAACCUCACUCGCAGAAGCCCAGGCUGCACCCCACCAGGUGAUGCAGUGCGCCUAGGCUGUGGGUGCUAGGAGCCAAGUGCUAGGGACUCGUCAUGAGUGGGAAUCCCCACGUUCCUGUCACUGCUGUCAAACAGAAGGUAAACAGUCUUACGAAUGUAAUUCCUUAGGAAGACUUGUACAAACUUUUAUUAGGAUAUCUAUUUAUUUAAUACUGAACUUUGGCCUACUUUGUGAUAAGACUAUAAACAAAUUGAGGAAAUCACUAUUUCUCACUUCUGUAUUUCUCAAAAAAUAAUUUUGUUACAGAGUUCAAUAUACUGUGUACUACUGAUCUUCUAUUGUGAAAGCAAAGCAUUUCAUCAAAACAAAGUAUUUUAAAUUAUGAGUGAAAAUUGUGUAUGUUAAUUUUG